UACGUAGGGACCGAGCGUUGUCCGGAUUUAUUGGGCGUAAAGAGCUCGUAGGCGGUUCAGCAAGUCGGGUGUGAAAACUCUGGGCUCAACCCAGAGACGCCACCCGAUACUGCUGUGACUAGAGUCCGGUAGGGGAGUGGGGAAUUCCUGGUGUAGCGGUGAAAUGCGCAGAUAUCAGGAGGAACACCGGUGGCGAAGGCGCCACUCUGGGCCGGCACUGACGCUGAGGAGCGAAAGCGUGGGUAGCAAACAGG
rnacentral:rRNA from 1 species